UCUGAUACUGCAUUAGAACUCCAUGUAGUUGCUUGACUUCAUGGAGACUGGAGUGGAUAUGGGGGUGUCAACUCUAUCUGUGGACACUGAUUUGGCAAUGGUCUUUGGACCACAGUUUUCCAGGUGCUAUGGUGAACCCAUGAUCACAGCUUGGGGCAACCCAUUGGCUGGCUACCCUCAUGGGCAUGUGUUCAGACCACACAGCAAGAUACCCAACAAGCCAAAGCUGUGACUGAGGCCAUGCCAUUCUGUUUUCUCAAAGUGGCAAACAUAAAUGUCACAGACAAAUGAUAGCUCUCUCUGGCUACACUGUUACAGGCCAUGGGUACACUAAAAAAAUGAACACUGCUCCAUGCCCACACACCUCUGAAAUAAAAGUCUAAGGAAAACAAAGGGCAUAACACCACCACACCCAGGUACCGCAACACAUUCUGUCCAACAAUCACAAACAUCUCACCUAGGUUUGGGCAAGAAUUUCCUGGCACUGAAAUAUCAGCAGCAUGACCCCAGCAGAGCCUAAUCUAUCCUCCCAGAGGAGCCUGGCUACCUUCAAAUCACAAGUUACCUGAUGGGUUCCCAUUCUCACAUAAUUCUUUCAAUGGAUUUUCUGGAUACCUAUGAUGUACAUUGACUUUAUCCCAUAUAUCCCAACCACUGCUUUUAACUAAAAGUACUGAGGUACUGGUGGGAGUUGGGGGUGUCUAAGCUACAAAAACACAGACAAGAACCUUGGCUGAAAACACAACUCCAGGACCAGUGAGUGGGCAGUGACCCUACAGGAAGUGAUUCUACCCUAGGCAGGGGGAUGCUGCCCUACUUACCCAUGAUCAAAGAGCACUGGAUUAAGUGUUGGAUGCCAAGGUACCACUAAGAAAAUCUACCCUUAACAGCACUUCUGAGUCACUUCACUAGCAGGUCAGACGAGAGGGAGUACCUUCCUCUUUAACUUCCAAAGAAGGUAGAAUUCUUUAUAGGAGCCCUCCUACCAAAAUUCAGAGUAUCUGGCAGCUGUGUAACAAGCACCUUUCACCCCCAAUCCACCACAAUGACAGUGGUUAGAAAAAGAAAA